AUUGAACGCUGGCGGCAUGCUUUACACAUGCAAGUCGAACGGUAACAGGCCUUCGGGUGCUGACGAGUGGCGAACGGGUGAGUAAUGCAUCGGAACGUACCCAGACGUGGGGGAUAACUACGCGAAAGCGUAGCUAAUACCGCAUACGCCCUGAGGGGGAAAGCGGGGGAUCUUCGGACCUCGCGCGAAUUGGAGCGGCCGAUGUCGGAUUAGCUAGUUGGUGGGGUAAAGCCUACCAAGGCGACGAUCCGUAGCUGGUCUGAGAGGAUGAUCAGCCACACUGGGACUGAGACACGGCCCAGACUCCUACGGGAGGCAGCAGUGGGGAAUUUUGGACAAUGGGCGCAAGCCUGAUCCAGCCAUGCCGCGUGCGGG
rnacentral:rRNA from 1 species